ACUGGUUGCAAUCAACCUCGUUCCCAGGGCUUUUCCCUUUUUGUCAUUGUCCUUUUCCCGCCUUCCCAAUGACAAAAAGGGAAAAGCCCUGGGAACGAGGUUGUG